UACAGAGGUCCCGAGCGUUGUUCGGAUUUACUGGGCGUAAAGGGCGCGUAGGCGGUCAGCACAAGUCAGUUGUGAAAUCUCCGGGCUUAACUCGGAAAGGUCAACUGAUACUGUGCGACUAGAGUGCGGAAGGGGCAACUGGAAUUCUCGGUGUAGCGGUGAAAUGCGUAGAUAUCGAGAGGAACACCUGCGGCGAAGGCGGGUCUCUGGGCCGUAACUGACGCUGAGGAGCGAAAGCGUGGGGAGCGAACAGG
rnacentral:rRNA from 1 species